GCCCGGAUGGUGGAAUUGGUAGACACGCAGGACUUAAAAUCCUGUGGCCAUAGCGGCUGUGCCGGUUCGAUCCCGGCUCCGGGUA
rnacentral:tRNA from 1 species